rnacentral:rRNA from 1 species
UACGACUACAUAUCAGGCAUAUCAAUAAGCGGAGGAAAAGAAACUAACAAGGAUUCCCUUAGUAACGGCGAGUGAAGCGGGAAGAGCUCAAAUUUGAAAUCUUCAAGGUUUUACCUUGACGAAUUGUAGUUUAAAGAAGUGUUUUCUGUUGAAGUUUUGGUAAAAGUUCUUUGGAAUAGGACAUCAUAGAGGGUGAGAAUCCCGUAUUUGACCAUUAUUUUCAGCUGUGUGAUACACUUUCAAAGAGUCGGAUUGUUUGGGAAUGCAGUCCAAAAUGGGUGGUAAAUUUCAUCUAAAGCUAAAUAUUGGCGAGAGACCGAUAGCGAACAAGUACCGUGAGGGAAAGAUGAAAAGAACUUUGAAAAGAGAGUUAAACAGUACGUGAAAUUGUCAAAAGGGAAGCGUUUGACACCAGUGUUGUUUUCUCGAAAAUCAAUUAAAAAUAGUUGGAUUUUGUGUUGUAUUGACCUUAACAGCUUGCUUCCACUCUUUUCCAGCUUUUUUUAAUGCACUUUUCGUUUAACAAGUCAACAUCAGUUUCUUUUGUUGUAAAAGGGUCAUUGGAAGGUGGCUUUCUCUUCGGAGAAAGUGUUUAUAGCCUUUGAUCUCUGCAAGUCGGAGAGACUGAGGUCUGCAGCGUAGAUCCUUCGGGGUUAGAUACAUUUGUGCUAAGCUACAGCUUUUCAUAGACAACUUGUUGACUAUGUUUAGUCUUGUGACUUACCCGCUUAUGCUAUUUUACCUACGCUUAGGAUGUUGAGCGCAUGUCUCUCUCU